UUAUUCUGAUAUUAAGCAACACUUUACAAGCAUUAUCCUUGUCCUUGGUACAUUAAAAGUAAUGCGGUGCAGACGUGGUUUGAAUUAAAAAUAAUUAGCACAAAAAUUCCCACUUAAACGAUUCCCUCUAAAAUUUCUCACUUCCCCUCUAAAUUUUUUUAUUAAAAGUCUAAGCGAUUCCAGUUGCCCCUUUACUCUAAGGUUUGAAACCCACAACCUUCUUCACUUGAUUUAAAAAAAAACUGUCCAUUGCACCCAAUCUUCGUCAAAAAGGGAAAGAAGAAAAUGAUUUCACCCAACUGGUGAUGCUCUUCAAAAGCAGGAGAUCUAAUUUACUUUAUUUGAUUCCUCCUAAGAUAUGAGUUACAUAAGUCAGUUUCUCAAGACAACAAGAAAGUAUUGAGCUUAGGGGAGCCAGUACUAGACGUUGUUAUCUUGUGUAUAGCUCCACUCCUUUUGAAACUUCUACAAGAAUGGAUAAUCCAAGAAUUUCUUGUCUUUUGUCAAACUUUGCAGUGGUUUACCGACAAGAAGAUGCGAUUCAACUUACAGGUUUGUUAUGCCAAUGAAGAAUUGUGACCUUGACAUCAAAGGGGUUUACUUUUCGCAAGUAUUACUCAAACUGAAGGAACAAUAGAAUUAGUCAAGGUCCUUAUAAUAUAUAACUUCAUCAUAUCUCAUUUAGAUGUGUUAGCUACCCUAUCCUUCUACGAUGAUUCAAGUAACGCAGAGGCUGUUAGAGACCAAAUGUUUUCAAAUUCCUUUGGAUCUAACUCAUAGUCCAAUUCUUGGAAAGGAAAAUUCUUGUGAUGCUAUUAAACGUGGUGGCCAAAGUCAAUUUGAUCCAUUUGAAGUUAAUGAUGAAGACUUUUGGACAAUACAUUUGAUUUUGUAAAGUUCAUAUUUAGCACACUACUUGAAGCAAUUUGCUUUAUUGGUUGAUUGUAGUAUAUGAAAUGUAUUCCUUUUUCGAAGUAAAUUGCAUGUAUGUGUUUAAACAAUCUCUUUUUUUAUUGAU